UUCCGGUUGAUCCCGCCGGAGGCGACCGCUAUUGGAAUUCGAUUAAGCCAUGCGAGUCGAGAGUCGUAAUGGAUUCGGCAUACUGCUCAGUAACACGUGGAUAACCUGCCCUGUUCUAGGGGAUAACCUCGAGAAAUUGAGAAUAAUACCCUAUAUUCCACUACGCCUGGAACGGUGAGUGGAUUAAAACUCCGGUGGAACAGGAUGGGUCUGCGGCAUAUCAGGUAGUAGUGGGUGUAACGGACCCACUAGCCUUCGACGUGUACGGGUUGUGGGAGCAAUCGCCCGGAGAUGGAUUCUGAGACACGAAUCCAGACCCUACGGGGUGCAGCAGGCGCGAAAACUUCACACUGCGGGAAACCGCGAUGAGGGAAUUCCAAGUGUCUGGGGUAAGACCCAGUCUUUUCUAGACUCUUAAUAGGUCUUGGAAUAAGGGGGGGGUAAGACCGGUGCCAGCCGCCGCGGUAAUACCGGCCCCCCAAGUGGUCGUCGCUUUUAUUGGGCCUAAAACGUCCGUAGCCGGUUUAGUAAACCCGUGGGUAAAUCAACCAGCUUAACUGGUUGAAUUCUGCGGAGACUGCUAGACUAGGGACCGGGAGAGGUACGAGGUACUCUUGGGGUAGGGGUAAAAUCCUGUCAUCCCAGGGGGACCACUUGUUGCGAAGGCGUCGUACUAGAACGGAUCCGACGGUCAGGGACGAAGCCUAGGGGCACGAACCGGAUUAGAUACCCGGGUAGUCCUAGGUGCAAACGCUGUGGACUUGGUGUUGGGGAUCCCAUGAGGGUUUCCAGUGCCGAAGCGAAGGUGUUAAGUCCACUGCCUGGGGAGUACGGUCGCAAGGCUGAAACUUAAAGGAAUUGGCGGGGGAGCACUGCAACGAGAGGAGCGUGCGGUUUAAUUGGAUUCAACGCCGG
rnacentral:rRNA from 1 species